GCGAGAGUGGCGGAACGGCAGACGCGCAAGGCUCAGGACCUUGUGGAGGAAACUCCGUGGGGGUUCAAGUCCCCCCUCUCGCACCA
rnacentral:tRNA from 1 species